CCUUGGACCACAGCACUCCAGGCUCCCCUGUCCUUCACUAUUUCCCGGAGUUUGCUCAGAUUCGUGUCCAUUGAGUUGGUGAUGCUAUCUAACCAUAGCUUCCCACAACAUUUAGUGGGAAACCUGGCCAGAGAGCUGGUCUUGGCUUGGGCAGGACUGGAGCCCAGAGCCCAGAGCUGGGGGGUCCAGACUGAUGCCAGAUCCUUCCCCAGAAGCAGUCCCUGCUGCCUGGGAGACUGGAAGGUCUGAGUCCCAGUGGUAUGGAGCUAACAGGAAAAGGAUGUCCCAGCCCAAGUCCUAGCUGCCCAGGACCCACCCUCCUUCCUCGAGUUCAGCCCCAGGGUGCCUGUGCUUUGACCUGCUUCUGCAGACAGUGAAGAUAAAAGGGAACCUACACAUCAAGGGAAGAAUUUCCAACCAGAGUCCCCUCUGUAACCAGGGCAGAGCCUUGGGAGGCAACAGGAAAGAAACCCUAAGGCUGGACCCGGCAGCCAUCUGUGCAGAGGAGUUGGGCCAGCGAACACCCAGAAGGACCAGAUGCCGGCCUGCGGGGACCUCUCCAGACUGUGGCUCCUGAGCUGGCACCCCUCUGGUUCAGGGCUCCUCAGCCCCAGCACAGUGCCUGAUGUUUAGCACAGCUCACUCAGACUGAUGCUGAAGCUGAAGCUCCAAUACUUUGGCCACCUGAUGCAAACAGCUGACUCACUGGAAAAGACCUUAAUGCUGAGAAAGAUUGAGGGCAGGAGGAGAAGGGGGAAAGAGAGGAUGAGAAGGCUGGCUGGUAUCGCUGACUCAAUGGACACGAGUUUUAGCCAGCUCCAGGAGAUAGUGAAGGACAGGGAAGGCUGGCGUGCUGCAGUCCACGGGGUCACAAAGAAUCAGACACAACUCAACAACUGAACAACAACAAUAACAUUAGUGCAUAGUAUUCCAUUUCAUGCCCUGGAGGAGAAAAUGGCUAUUCACUCCAGUAUUCUUGCUGGGAUAAUCCCGUAGACAGAGAAGCCUGGUGAGCUACAGUCCAUGGGGUUGUAAAGAGUUGGACACGACUGAAGCGACUGAGCACGCAUGCAUGCAUUCCAUUGUAUGAAUGUAUCACUU
ensembl:lncRNA